GAUGAACGCUGGCGGCGUGCCUAAUACAUGCAAGUCGAGCGAUCAGACGAGGAGCUUGCUCCUCUGAUGUUAGCGGCGGACGGGUGAGUAACACGUGGAUAACCUACCUAUAAGACUGGGAUAACUUCGGGAAACCGGAGCUAAUACCGGAUAACAUGUUGAACCGCAUGGUUCAACAGUGAAAGACGGUCUUGCUGUCACUUAUAGAUGGAUCCGCGCCGCAUUAGCUAGUUGGUAAGGUAACGGCUUACCAAGGCAACGAUGCGUAGCCGACCUGAGAGGGUGAUCGGCCACACUGGAACUGAGACACGGUCCAGACUCCUACGGGAGGCAGCAGUAGGGAAUCUUCCGCAAUGGGCGAAAGCCUGACGGAGCAACGCCGCGUGAGUGAAGAAGGUCUUCGGAUCGUAAAACUCUGUUAUUAGGGAAGAACAAAUGUGUAAGUAACUAUGCACGUCUUGACGGUACCUAAUCAGAAAGCCACGGCUAACUACGUG
rnacentral:rRNA from 1 species